rnacentral:pre_miRNA from 1 species
AGAGGAAUAGCUGGGUCAAAUGGUGGUUCCAUUCCCAGAUUUUCAAGGAAUCUCCAUACUGCUUUCCAUAUUGGCUGCACCAAUUUGCAGUCCUACCAGCAAU